rnacentral:rRNA from 1 species
GAUGAUCAGCCACACUGGAACUGAAACACGGUCCAGACUCCUACGGGAGGCAGCAGUGGGGAAUAUUGGACAAUGGGCGAAAGCCUGAUCCAGCGACGCCGCGUGAGUGAUGAAGGCCUUCGGGUUGUAAAGCUCUGUUGAGGGAGAAGAAAACAGUUAGGGCGAAUAGGCCUAGCUCUUGACGGUAUCCCUUUAGAAAGCACCGGCUAACUCUGUGCCAGCAGCCGCGGUAAGACAGAGGGUGCAAACGUUGCUCGGAAUUACUGGGCGUAAAGCGCGUGUAGGCGGACCUGUAAGUUGGACGUGAAAGCCCUGGGCUCAACCCAGGAAUUGCAUCCAAAACUACAGGCCUAGAGUGAUGGAGAGGGCAGCAGAAUUCCUGGUGUAGAGGUGAAAUUCGUAGAUAUCAGGAGGAACACCGGUGGCGAAGGCGGCUGCCUGGACAUCAACUGACGCUGAGACGCGAAAGCGUGGGGAGCAAACAGGAUUAGAUACCCUGGUAGUCCACGCCGUAAACGAUGAGUGCUGGGUGUCGUGGGUUUUGACCCCCGCGGUGCCGUAGCUAACGCGU